rnacentral:lncRNA from 1 species
GUGGUGUCCAUUUGAUCUAAAGAAAGGAGUCUCCAUCAGCUAUCCAGAGUUUUUGUCGUGAGCUAGCACUCCCGGAAAGGAUGAUUUGUUCGGGGCUUCGAGUGGACUACCUAUAGAGGCUGGACAUGCUGUGUGGCUGCUCAGUAUCAAGAAGGACCUCCUAUCACAUGCAUCAAUAGUGGUGAUUAUUGACCCAUAAUCAGGUAAUGGGUUCUGAACGCAUCGGAUCAGAUCUAAUUGUUAGAUCUGAUUCAGGGCAUCGA